rnacentral:rRNA from 1 species
CACGGGGUUGCGAGCGUUGUCCGGAAUUACUAGGCGUAAAGGGUGCGUAGGUGGUUUCUUAAGUCAGAGGUGAAAGGCUACGGCUCAACCGUAGUAAGCCUUUGAAACUGGGAAACUUGAGUGCAGGAGAGGAGAGUGGAAUUCCCGGUGUAGCGGUGAAAUGCGUAGAUAUCGGGAAGAACACCAGUGGCGAAGGCGGCUCUCUGGCCUGCAACUGACGCUGAGGCGCGAAAGCUAGGGUAGCGAACGGGAUUAGAUACCCCGGUAGUCCCUGAGCGGGCU